rnacentral:siRNA from 1 species
CCAGUCGCCUUCGUGCAG